rnacentral:rRNA from 1 species
CGGACGGGUGAGUAAUGCCUAGGAAUCUGCCUGGUAGUGGGGGACAACGUUUCGAAAGGAACGCUAAUACCGCAUACGUCCUACGGGAGAAAGCAGGGGACCUUCGGGCCUUGCGCUAUCAGAUGAGCCUAGGUCGGAUUAGCUAGUUGGUGAGGUAAUGGCUCACCAAGGCGACGAUCCGUAACUGGUNUGAGAGGAUGAUCAGUCACACUGGAACUGAGACACGGUCCAGACUCCUACGGGAGGCAGCAGCU